AGUGCGUUGCGGGCGUCAGUCUCUUCGCGCGUGAGCCUGCGGCGUGGAAGCCCCACAGGCUCCUCUGAGUUCCAUCUUCCUCAGAAACCUCAGAGGAUCAGGGAUGGCAGCGGCCAGGCUCCUGCCACCACCAGCAGGACCCCAGCCCCUGUCAUUCCAGGCCAAGGUGACCUUUGAGGAUGUGGCCGUGCUUCUCUCCCAGGAGGAAUGGGACCGCCUGGGCCCUGCUCAGCGGGGCCUCUACCGACACGUGAUGAUGGAGACCUAUGGGAACGUGGUAUCACUGGGACUUCCAGGAUCAAAGCCCAAUGUGAUCUCUCAGCUGGAGCGAGGAGAAGAGCCAUGGGUCCUGGAUGGGCAAGGGGCUGAGGAGUCUAGGGGCCUGGGGAGUGGCCAUUCAGACAACUACACACAUGACCACAUGACAGCUCGUAUGCGACAAGACAGUUCACCCUGUCCGUGGGAAUAUGAAAACAAGGGAGAGAACCAAAAUAGGGAUUUGAGUCUGAAGCCGUUUAUUUCAGAGGAAGUAUCAGUGAUUCUGGGGGAAACAUCCACAGGAUGGAUUGAUCAAAGACGUUAUGAACGUGAUCAGAGCUUCUGUGUGAGUCCAAGUCCCGUCGGCGGGCCUGAAGCCCAGGUCUUGAGCCAGAGUGUGCCUCUCCCUCAGCAUCAGGCUGUUCCCAGUGGUGAGAGACCCUACAGGUGCACCGAGUGUGGGAAAUGCUUUGGCCGGAGCUCCCAUUUGCUGCAGCAUCAGAGAACCCACACCGGAGAGAAGCCCUACGUGUGCGGCGUUUGUGGGAAGGCCUUCAGCCAGAGCUCCGUCCUCAGCAAACACAGGAGAAUCCACACGGGCGAGAAGCCCUACGAGUGUAACGAAUGCGGAAAGGCCUUUCGGGUGAGCUCGGAUCUCGCUCAGCAUCAUAAGAUCCACACGGGGGAGAAGCCCCACGAGUGUCUGGAGUGCCGGAAGGCGUUCACGCAGCUCUCGCACCUCAUCCAGCACCAACGGAUCCACACCGGCGAGCGGCCGUACGUGUGCCCGCUGUGCGGGAAGGCCUUCAACCACAGCACGGUUCUGCGCAGCCACCAGCGCGUGCACACCGGGGAGAAGCCGCACGAGUGCACGCAGUGCGGCCGCGCCUUCAGCGUCAAGAGGACGCUCCUGCAGCACCAGCGCGUGCACACGGGAGAGAAGCCCUACACGUGCAGCGAGUGCGGCCGCGCCUUCAGCGACCGCUCGGUGCUCAUCCAGCACCACAACGUGCACACCGGCGAGAAGCCGUACGAGUGCGGCGAGUGCGGCAAGGCCUUCAGCCACCGCUCGACGCUCAUGAACCACGAGCGCAUCCACACGGAGGAGAAGCCGUAUGGCUGCUACGCGUGCGGAAAGGCCUUCGUGCAGCACUCGCACCUGACGCAGCACCAGCGCGUGCACACCGGGGAGAAGCCCUACGUGUGCGGCGAGUGCGGGCACGCCUUCAGCGCCCGCCGGUCCCUGGUGCAGCACGAGAGGAUCCACACCGGCGAGAGGCCGUUCCGCUGUGCACAGUGCGGCAAGGCCUUCAGCCUGAAGGCUACCCUGAUCGUGCACCUGCGGACCCACACCGGCGAGCGGCCCUACGAGUGCAGCCGCUGCGGCAAGGCCUUCAGCCAGUACUCGGUGCUCAUCCAGCACCAGAGGAUCCACACGGGCGAGCGGCCCUACGAGUGUGGCGAGUGCGGCCGCGCCUUCAAUCAGCACGGGCACCUGAUCCAGCACCAGAAGGUGCACAGGAAGCUGUGACCCCUGCUGGCCCCCGGGAGCCCCCACCCAGGAGAAGCUUCUGGCAACUCUGCCAGGUGCCGUUCUCUGGCAAUUCAGUGUCCCAAGCACAUGUUCCUGUGGAAAAACCAGAGGAUGCCUGUUUUGUUUACCCCCACACCCUGAAGUUCUGUUGCACAGUAAUCACACAAUUGUAGUGAAUUUUGGUAAAGACAGCCAUCAUUCAUUCCUUAACAUGAGACCAUCUAUUUGAAGUGAGCGGAGCCAGCAUCACAGGUGAAACUCUGGAAGCUGAGGUAGCAGGUGUACUGCACAGAGGAGAUGGGCUCCUGAAAGGAACUGACAUCACUGAUGUGUACUGCAGAGCAGCUGGGACAACAGGAGCUAAGGCAAUUGAAGGAAAAACAGGACUUGGGAUCACUAAGGUAGAUGCUAGAGAGGUGAACUCGCUGAGGUAUUACUUCAGAGAUGGCUGAAACCUCUGAGGAGAUGCUGUAGAAGCCAAGCUCAUGGUGCGAUUCAGAGGAGCUGAAAUCCCUCCGAUGUUACUGCAGACAGUAGCUGAAAUCACUAGAGCCAAACUGCAGAUCAAUAGAAGUGUUACUGCAGAGAGCAGCUGGCACCGGCGAGGUGCUAGCUCGAAAAUCCCCACAGAGGGAAGCCAACAGCCCUUGCUGGCUGAGUCUAUAGCUGGCGUCUGACUCAGUGACUGCCCUUCAGAGCUCACCACUGUUGAGGGCACAAUUCCUAAUCCUGUGAAAGAGCUAGAAUAAGAAAUAGUCACGUUCCAGUUGAGACGAGAAUAAGAGUUCAGUUAAAUACAAUAUACAGAAAUACUUGUUUGGAAAGACACUAUAUCACAGGACAAUGUAAGUGAUACAGUACAAGUCAUUCUGGAUUGAUAAAUCCACCAAAUCUAGGGUUUUUGGGGAAAUCUGCAAAAUGUAUAGUUCACUUUUCAACCUUCUUAAAUGAAGUGUACUUAAUAUCAUUCUGCCUUUUCUUCCUAUCAGCUGCCAUUGACCCAUUGGUGUGUGUACAGGCUCAGGUAUCCAUGGAGCUGAAAGGUGAGCUUCAGUGCCCUUCUCCCUGGGGAGGCUCCCUGGGCCAUGCAUUUUUGUCACCUACCUCUCCAGAGACCAGGAGGUAGCACAGAACCUGCUGGAACAUAUGGGCAGUCUAUGUUUUUGGGAAGUGGCAUCAGGCACCAAAAUGACCUUUGGGGUCCCUUCACCCUGUUAAUAGCCUUCUCAGCCAUUAACUGCCCAUCUCUGACUGAUCAGCAACAUAUACCACACUUAUUUUGGAUUUUUUAAUUUUUAUUUAGACGUUUUUACAUUUUAUGCAUUUAAAUCUUUAUCCUAUUUUUCCUUACUGCUACCAAGAAUUUGACACCUAGUUCUCAAAUUUUCUAUAAUUUAGAAAACAUCCAGAAUUUUAUUUCUGUGUACUAUGUAUAAUCUGACAUUUCCCAAUAAAAAAAGGAAUGACUGGAACACCUUUUUGUGGGUGAAGGGAGAUGAAUGAUUUU